UUUAGCUUUUAUGUUUUGUUAAUAAACAUUUUACAAGAUAAAAAAAAAGCAACGUCGGGCUCGGUUAGUACUUGGAUGGGUGACCGCCUGGGAACAUCGAGUGCCGUAGACU
rnacentral:rRNA from 1 species